GACGAACGCUGGCGGCGUGCUUAACACAUGCAAGUCGAACGGAAAGGCCCUGCUUUUGGGGGGUGCGCGAGUGGCGAACGGGUGAGUAACACGUGAGUAACCUGCCCUUGACUUUGGGAUAACUUCAGGAAACUGGGGCUAAUACCGGAUAGGAGCUCCUGCUGCAUGGUGGGGGUUGGAAAGUUUCGGCGGUUGGGGAUGGACUCGCGGCUUAUCAGCUUGUUUGUGGGGUAGGGGCUUACCAAGGCUUUGACGGGUAGCCGGCCUGAGAGGGUGCCCGGCCACAUUGGGACUGAGAUACGGACCAGACUCCUACGGGAGGCAGCAGUGGGGAAUAUUGCACAAUGGGCGGAAGCCUGAUGCAGCAACGCCGCGUGCGGGAUGACGGCCUUCGGGUUGUAAACCGCUUUCGCCUGUGACGAAGCGUGAGUGACGGUAAUGGGUAAAGAAGCACCGGCUAACUACGUG
rnacentral:rRNA from 1 species